AGUGUAUCAGGUGGUGAUGACAGUGUAUCAUGUGGUGAUGACAGUGUACUGUAACAGUGGAUCAGGUGGUGAUGACAGUGUACUGUAACAGUGUAUCAGGUGGUGAUGACAGUGGAUCAGGUGGUGAUGACAGUGUACUGUAACAGUGUAU